rnacentral:rRNA from 1 species
UGUGUCCUACGGGGCGCAGCAGUGGGGGAUAUUGCACAAUGGGGGAAACCCUGAUGCAGCGACGCCGCGUGUGGGAAGACGGUCUUCUGGAUUGUAAACCACUGUCCCCAGGGACGAAAAUGACGGUACCUGGGGAGGAAGCUCCGGCUAACUACGUGCCAGCAGCCGCGGUAAUACGUAGGGGGCAAGCGUUAUCCGGAUUUACUGGGUGUAAAGGGAGCGUAGACGGAAUUGCAAGUCUGAUGUGAAAAUCCGGGGCCCAACCCCGGAACUGCAUUGGAAACUGUAUUUCUAGAGUGUCGGAG